UACGUAGGGGGCGAGCGUUGUCCGGAUUCAUUGGGCGUAAAGAGCGCGUAGGCGGCUCGAUAAGUGUGAAGUGAAAUCUCUAGGGCUCAACCCAGAAACUGCUUUACAUACUGUCGAGCUGGAGUGAUGAAGAGGUUUGUGGAAUUCCUGGUGUAGCGGUGAAAUGCGUUGAUAUCAGGAGGAACACCCAUGGCGAAGGCAGCAAACUGGUCAUCAACUGACGCUGAGGCGCGAAAGCGUGGGUAGCAAACAGG
rnacentral:rRNA from 1 species